GGUGGGGAUGACGUCAAAUCAUCAUGCCCCUUAUGUCUUGGGCUUCACGCAUGCUACAAUGGCCGGUACAGAGGGUUGCGAUGCCGUGAGGCGGGGCGAAUCCCUUAAAGCCGGUCUCAGUUCGGAUCGGUGUCUGCAACUCGACACCGUGAAGUCGGAGUCGCUAGUAAUCGCAGAUCAGCAUUGCUGCGGUGAAUACGUUCUCGGGCCUUGUACACACCGCCCGUC
rnacentral:rRNA from 1 species